UCUAUUUUGUGUGUUGGUGCUAGGUUAUUGAUUAAUAGUUCAAGUGUUUAUCCUUUUGUUAUGUUUGAAAAUUACCAUUAAAAAGAAAAUAUAUUGAUGUUAAAGUUAAUAAAAAUUCAACUUUUCAAAUAAUUAAUAUAUGUAGUGUAAGGGAGCCGUGGGUCGGUGAAGAUGAAUAAAUAAGAUAAGUAGGUGAGAGGAAUAAUAAGGGUUGAUCGGGAAAGUUUGGGAGUUGAUCGGGAGCACUGGUAGGCCGGCCGGGUGAGUAAAGAAGAGGUGUGAGUAUAGUGUAACAGUAUUACUGGACUAGUGGGACGAAUAUCGCGGACACGUUAGCAACGGUUAUAAUUAAUGGGCGAAUCUUGCGGGAUUAUGGAUCAGCGGUUCCAGGUAGUUAAUACGCAUUACUUGAGUCUGAUGCCUAUAAAUAUAAGAAUGUUAACCAUGUAUUUUACCUUUUGAUCUAAUUACAUUUGCGCUGAUUUCAU
rnacentral:lncRNA from 1 species